GUUUUUAUAAUUUAAAUCAAAAUAUUGGUCUUGUAAAUCAAAAAUAAAGAAAUUUUAAAAACA
rnacentral:tRNA from 1 species